CGGUGAACCUCUUCGGAGGGGAUCAGUGGCGAACGGGUGAGUAACACGUGGGCAACCUGCCCCCGGCUCUGGGAUAACUCCAAGAAAUUGGGGCUAAUACCGGAUGUUCACCGCUGUCCGCAUGGAUGGUGGUGGAAAGGGUUUCCGGCUGGGGAUGGGCCCGCGGCCUAUCAGCUUGUUGGUGGGGUAGUGGCCUACCAAGGCGACGACGGGUAGCCGGCCUGAGAGGGUGACCGGCCACACUGGGACUGAGACACGGCCCAGACUCCUACGGGAGGCAGCAGUGGGGAAUAUUGCGCAAUGGGCGGAAGCCUGACGCAGCGACGCCGCGUGGGGGAUGACGGCCUUCGGGUUGUAAACCUCUUUCAGCAGGGACGAAGCGCAAGUGACGGUACCUGCAGAAGAAGCACCGGCCAACUACGUGCCAGCAGCCGCGGUAAUACGUAGGGUGCAAGCGUUGUCCGGAAUUAUUGGGCGUAAAGAGCUCGUAGGCGGUUCGUCGCGUCGGCUGUGAAAACCCGGAGCUCAACUCCGGGCCUGCAGUCGAUACGGGCGGACUUGAGUUCGGCAGGGGAGACUGGAAUUCCUGGUGUAGCGGUGAAAUGCGCAGAUAUCAGGAGGAACACCGGUGGCGAAGGCGGGUCUCUGGGCCGAAACUGACGCUGAGGAGCGAAAGCGUGGGGAGCGAACAGGAUUAGAUACCCUGGUAGUCCACGCCGUAAACGUUGGGCGCUAGGUGUGGGGGCCAUUCCACGGUCUCCGUGCCGCAGCUAACGCAUUAAGCGCCCCGCCUGGGGAGUAC
rnacentral:rRNA from 1 species